rnacentral:lncRNA from 1 species
CGGGUCCGGAAGCGGGCGGUGGAGAAGUCCAGUUGCCCCAAAAUUCUUAGGGUGCUUAAUUUCGUGCCCGCUCUACAGGAAAUAACGUGCGCGGCGGAGGAGCCCUGUCCUGGAGAAUAACGCGUGAAGAAGACAGUGGACUGGGCAUUUCGUCCAGAUGAAUGAGCAUGGUAGUUAAGUGUAGAAGGUGACCUUCUUCCCUCUGGAGAGACCAGGGAGGGGGGAACCACCGGAGGAGUUUCUAGCGGUUGCAGCUACUUGAGGUUCCAGUCUAAUAACUACGAACUGUUCAUUUCAAGUAGCAUUAAAGUAGAUUUGCUACAGUAACAAUUACACUUGGCUAAGGAAAAUUUGCAAGGCAACAUGGUCUAUUGCAUAGAGCACUGAGCCACAUGUUAACACUGUAACAAACACUUGCUAUUUUGAAAUUUUACGCUUCAUCUUUUGCAAAUCAGAUGCAGGUGCAGAGUGAAUUAAGAGGAGCUGAAUUAAGAGAGAAGCUUGCAUGCACUGCUGUCAAAACCUAAACACACUGGCUUUUUUUUUUUUAACAGUUCCUUUUUUCAAGGUAUAGAUUCUGGGAAGGUAAGGGAAGAUAAAACAGCUUUUCUUUUUCUCUCCUGUUUUUUUUUUUGUUGUUUUUUUUUUGAGACUAGGUCUCACUCUAUUCCCCAUGCUGGAGUGCAGUGGCACAAUCAUAGCUUACAGUAGCCUCGAACAGCGAUCCUCUUGCCUCAGCCUCCAAAGUAGCUGGGACUACAGGCGCGCGCCACAACACCUGGCCAAGCGUUUCUUCCAGAUCAUUCCUUACUGGGUUGCUGGUUCAGUAAAAAUAAAAAAAUAAAAAAUAAUUUAGAAAUGAGUUCCCAAAUUUCAUUAUGUUCCCAAUGUCAUUUGGAAUCACUGUUUCACUGUUUUCUUAUUUACCCCUGGGUCGUACAUUACUUCACUUAUUUAUAUCUAACAGGAAGCAGAGCUUCUGCUAUAUUUUAGGCUGUAUUCAGUUUUAUACAGAAUACCUUUUUUAGAGCUUGAAGACAAAUGUUUUAGAUUUUGACAGUAAAACAAAU